rnacentral:rRNA from 1 species
AUUGAACGCUGGCGGAAUGCUUUACACAUGCAAGUCGAACGGCAGCACGGACUUCGGUCUGGUGGCGAGUGGCGAACGGGUGAGUAAUGUAUCGGAACGUGCCCAGUCGUGGGGGAUAACGUAGUGAAAAUUACGCUAAUACCGCAUACGAUCUAUGGAUGAAAGCGGGGGACCGUAAGGCCUCGCGCGACUGGAGCGGCCGAUAUCAGAUUAGGUAGUUGGUGGGGUAAAGGCUCACCAAGCCGACGAUCUGUAGCUGGUCUGAGAGGACGACCAGCCACACUGGAACUGAGACGCGGUCCAGACUCCUACGGGAGGCAGCAGUGGGGAAUUUUGGACAAUGGGCGCAAGCCUGAUCCAGCCAUUCCGCGUGCAGGAUGAAGGCCCUCGGGUUGUAAACUGCUUUUGUACGGAACGAAAAGGCUCUGGUUAAUACCUGGGGCUCAUGACGGUACCGUAAGAAUAAGCACCGGCUAACUACGUGCCAGCCGCCGCCGUAA